rnacentral:rRNA from 1 species
UACGUAGGGGGCUAGCGUUGUCCGGAUUUAUUGGGCGUAAAGAGCGUGUAGGCGGCCAGGUAGGUCUGGUGUGAAAACUCGAGGCUUAACCUCGAGAUGUCAUCGGAAACCAUCUGGCUAGAGUCCGGAAGAGGAGAGUGGAAUUCCUGGUGUAGCGGUGAAAUGCGCAGAUAUUAGGAAGAACACCGGUGGCGAAGGCGGCCCACUGGCUCGAUACUGACGCUGAGGUGCGAAAGCGUGGGGAGCAAACGGG